AAGUCGUAACAAGGUCUCCGUAGGUGAACCUGCGGAGGGAUCAUUACUGAGUGAGGGCCUCCGGGCUCGACCUCCAACCCUUUGUGAACCAAACUUGUUGCUUCGGGGGCGACCCUGCCGGCAUUCGUCAGCGGGCGCCCCCGGAGGCCAUCAAACACUGCAUCUAUGCGUCGGAGUUUAAAUUCAAUUAAACAAAACUUUCAACAACGGAUCUCUUGGUUCUG
rnacentral:misc_RNA from 1 species